rnacentral:rRNA from 1 species
CACGUAGGGUGCGAGCGUUGUCCGGAAUUAUUGGGCGUAAAGAGCUCGUAGGCGGUGUGUCGCGUCGGCCGUGAAAACCUGCAGCUUAACUGUGGGCUUGCAGUCGAUACGGGCAGACUUGAGUUCGGUAGGGGAGACUGGAAUUCCUGGUGUAGCGGUGAAAUGCGCAGAUAUCAGGAGGAACACCGGUGGCGAAGGCGGGUCUCUGGGCCGAUACUGACGCUGAGGAGCGAAAGCGUGGGGAGCGAACAGG